UCCAACGGAUGUAUACGUGAGUGCACGGUCGAGAGCAUGAGUCAAGCUGCAGAAAGAAAAGAAAAGAUGCCUUUUGGGUAUCUCUCCGGUAAUUGUGGUUUAGAUCUCACGACGAUGUAAGUUUGAACGGUUCGGAUUUAGUGGUCCCCAAACACAGCACCUCCCGCUCCAGUCAGGUCAACAUUGGAAUCACGUAUGUAAUAUACUCAGAGUUUGUGGGCCCUGGUUUGCUUCGCACGUGCGACACAGAAACCUAUAGCCCAUAGUCUAUUGCUAGAGCCAAAGCCCUGGGCCCAUAAUAACUUCGAGCCCUACAAUGCACGUGACUGCGGGAAUCACAUUUUGUGGUAUAUCCUUUGUACAGUAUUUUUGAUGAUAUUUUCUACCAUGGUAUUUUUAUAGUUCUCUGCGUUUCUUCGAGAAGUAGCUAGCGCGCAUUAGAUGAAACUAGAAAGAAGACAAAGAAAAUCAGUUUCUUUUAUGGCGUCUUCUUGGAGAAGAAAACACACCAAAUUUGAUGUUAUAUUGGUCGAUUGGAGUUGUCUAUAGAUUGUGCAACACAUAAUCCUGGUACUCAUAUAGUCAUAUAGAAACAAUAGUACAGAAAAAUCAUCCACUAGCAGUGUUCUAAUACUUGAUGCUGAUUAGCAUGCCCCUGAGUAGGUUUAUUGCCAAUUCCUCUUCUUCUCACUCCAUAUGCCAAUUAGAAUUUUCUCUUGACCAGAUGUACGAUGAUGGGUAAUUGAGUGCUGGGCUUCCAACAGCUAAGCCCAUGUAUAUGUAGUGAAUGUAACAAAGUCCUAUUAACGAGCAGCAAAAUAUAACACGAGAUCGCGUUAAAUCUAACCUAUACUAAAAGGGAUAUAUGAGGAGUAGGGAGGCUGUCCACGUCCUCAAUUAAAAUCAGCCAAUAAGGUGAGUUUAUUUGUCCAUGUCACACUCAGUUUGGGCUUUGGUUUUUUUUAUCCGUAAUGUGAGGUAUUUGCCCAUAAGCCUGAUCCAAGAGAAGCCCUAAAAUAUGAGACGAUGAAUUCGUCUCCAUUAUUAUUUGUGGGCUCCACGUUCUGUCCGGUUUAUUUUGGUCGUAAAGGUUUGUGUUUGAUCUGAUUUGGGUUUUCCACAUUUGGUUCCAUAAUUAAGUCAAAAUUUGCGUUUUAUGCUUGAAUGGAUUAGGGCUUCAUCAUUAUCUUUCUUCUUCCCCAUUCAACUUCGCCGUCUACACUUAUCUUAAUCUGCAAACCUAAUGAUUGCAAACGUAAAGGUUGACAUCGCCAUCUCCGUACCCAACAUUUAUUCCUCUCUUUACCACCUCUUCCGGUUCCCGAUGUUGUCCCUGAAUCCACCGCUCUGUUUCGGCCGGCGAGACCACAAAACGAUCCAUGGAGGAUGCCUCUGACAUAUCAUGGGGCUGCAAUAUAGAUUCAGUCGAAAACGCCAGUUCUCUUCAGAGAUGGCUAACCAAUUCAGGCCUCCCGCCGCAGAAAAUGGUUGUCGACAGAGUCGACAUCAGAGAGAGAGAGAGGUGGGAGUCUCGGAAUGAAAUAUCAACGAACAAACACUUUCUUAAGUUAAAUUCAAAGGAAUGUGCUCAGCUUACUUCUCAGUGCGCUCAUCUACAAGACCGAACGAUGGCUCUUGCCAAGGAGCUGGCAUCACUUAAAUUGGUUUCCGACAUAAGAUUGGAGGAAGUUGAUGUGCUGAAGCUUGCUUUUUUUGAGAAUAACGCAAAAGACAAAAGAUACAAUAGACACACCGGGUUUGUUUCCUGUGAGAUUGUGGUUUCGGCCUAUAUUGGUUUGUGGUUUCGGCCUAUAUUGGUUUGUGGUUUCCUCAAGUCUCUGUUCUAUUCGUAUGGUCUCAGCCCGUGCUUAUUCAGGUUCUUUGGGAACUUGCGUUCGAUUGUCGUCUGUGUGGAGCUGGUUUUUUGGUUCUGAUAAGAAACACUUUCCCUCUUUUUAAUUAUUCUGCCUCAGUGUUGAUUUCUUCCUUUUGGUGAUUCAAAAGGUUGUCCAGUAGUGUGGAAAGGUUGUUUGUGUUUUUAUGGUCUGUAAUAAUCAUACUUCAAAUUACGUUAAUGCAAUUCAAUGAUGAACAAAAAAAAACAAUAGACACACCUGUCAAGUCCUUGGUUACUCGAAACAGGUAGGUACAUAGCUUAUGUUUUGUUACAGCUUCCCUUCUCUCAUUUUAUCAUGUAGGUACUAUUGAUGAGGUCCCCAUGACUACUACUGUGACCAAACUCCAGAAAUUCAUGCUUCUGAAGUUCAACCAUCUUCAAGCUCUUGCAAACUUUCUUUGAACUCCCUGAUAUAGUUGGCCAAAUCCGUUCAAGACUCUAACAUAAACAACUCUGUUCAAGGCUCUGACAUAAACAACUCUGCUGCAACAACCCGAUUAUGCAUGAAAGUUGGUGUCCCAAUCAUGCUGCCGCGCAACCUAAACCAAGAAGAAGGCUUGAGAAAGAGUUAUCGAAGCAGAAGUGUGUGUGCUGAUACCAAGAAACAAACUAUCACCGACAGAAAACAAACAUCUAUUCACUCUAAGAAGCCGCCAGUUUCCAGUACAUAUAUCCUGGGGAUUUUAACAUUACCAGGGUCACGUGACUAACGACAUUGCCAACAUCGUUUACAGAAAAGCCUUCAAUGGCCUCCCACAAUCACCGGUUUAGAAGAAGACUAUGAGAGUUUCGCCAACAUGGUUUCCUCUGUUUCUUUCUCUGUUCUGUCUGUAUCUGUCCAAAGAAUCAUCAAAUGGGAUCCACUGAACUACAAGACACAGAUUUCUUUAGCUCUUUUUCUGAGAACUUACACUCAACGUUCUUCACUCCAACCACAAGCUCGCUCUGAUCUGACUCGGACACGGAUUCACCAAAGCCAUAAAACGAGGAUGAAGAUCGUAGAGUUGACUCGGUAGAUGAGUAACUAUAUGAGCAUCAGAAGUCUUGUGGUGGAGACAACCUAUUAUGAUUCCUUUUCAAUCAAAAGAAGCUUUAAUCGAUGAGCAGAUCCGAUCUGUUCAGGCAAACUUCCAAAACUAGAAGGAGAAAGACGAGCAGCGAAAUGAUGAUGCAUUUAAACAUAAAGCAAGGAGCUACCACAACCAACAGAGAGACCAAAGUCCGCUGUGAAGGCGGAGUUCGUUGACGGGUCAUUCGAGAACCAGGUCAGGUGGAACUGAGUGUUCUUGCCAGGCAGGCAUGGUACUGCUGGGGAGUCACGCAAAAAAGUAGUUUCAUAUUAAUUUAGCAUUGUUACUUCUUCUUUUUUAAGUCAAUCAAGAACUCCAUUAUAAGUUUUUGUUUUGUUUUCUAUUAACGAGAUGUGGUUUUAAAGAAGGCUACAUAUUAUAUAUAAUGGACAACAGUUAAAAGAAAGAGAUGAAAUGACGUUGUCUAUA